UAAGUAGGGUGCGAGCGUUAAUCGGAAUUACUGGGCGUAAAGCGUGCGCAGGCGGUUAUGUAAGACAGAUGUGAAAUCCCCGGGCUCAACCUGGGAACUGCAUUAGUGACUGCAUAGCUGGAGUACGGCAGAGGGGGAUGGAAUUCCGCGUGUAGCAGUGAAAUGCGUAGAUAUGCGGAGGAACACCGAUGGCGAAGGCAAUCCCCUGGGCCUGUACUGACGCUCAUGCACGAAAGCGUGGGGAGCAAACAGG
rnacentral:rRNA from 1 species